rnacentral:rRNA from 1 species
UACGGAGGGUGCGAGCGUUAAUCGGAAUUACUGGGCGUAAAGCGCACGUAGGCGGUCAGGCAAGUCGGGUGUGAAAGCCCGGGGCUCAACCCCGGAACUGCCUUUGAUACUGGGUGUCUAGAGUAUGGAAGAGGUGAGUGGAAUUCCGAGUGUAGAGGUGAAAUGCGUAGAUAUCGUAAGGAAGACCAGUGGCGAAGGCGGGUCUCUGGACAGUUCCUGACGCUGAGGCACGAAGGCCAGGGGAGCAAACGGG